AAGACAUCGAACAUGAUCACUGCUCAAGUUACAGAACUGCACAAAACCACACUGAAUGCAGAGGACACAAACCAAUGCACACAGCAGCAAAAAGAACGACAGCAACACAACCGAGAACAAACGAGAAGCACAAAACAGGAAACCGCUGUUUGUCAAAACAUCACACAUUGUCAGAUUGGCAGAAAACGGCGUUCACGCCGCCGUCGCUCCAGUACAGCUGAGCAGACUGCAGCCGUGGGAGAGAGUGACUGUGUUUCACACGCUCAGCUCGAGCUUUCUGAUCCUGAACUUCAUGACAGAUCGACCACUAGCAGAGGUGCAGACAGGAGGACAGGCGGGUGAGUUUUCAGACUUACUCCGGGAAGCUGAGAGGAAGAGCAGCGGCAGCGAGCAGGUCAGUGAGUGUAAUGCACCCGGUAAAGUCAACAGAAAAAACUUCACAUGUUCUUCCACGUUCGUAGAGAGGAGCUCAUGGUUCGUAGAGACAGCUGCCAGAGAUGGAGAAACACAAGGACAGGGAGAAAAUGAUCUGCAGGAUCCUGCUGCUCAUCAUCCUCACCUCAUGUGUCUCUGGAUCAUUUGUAGUCAAUGUGACACAGACCUCCUAUCAGGCAGAGGAGAACCACAACAUCACACUGGAGUGGACGUUCACCACCAAACCUGACAGAUCCACAAAAACUCUCAACAUCCUCUGUGAACUGAUAACUGAUAAAGUCUCAGUCUUGUAUCAUGUUCUUGAAGGUGUUGAGGUGUCAGAGUCUCAGGAUGCAAAGUUUUCAGGACGAGUCCAGAGUGACAAAGACGCCCUCAGAGAAGGACGAAUCAGACUUCAACUGUCCAGACUCAGGAUUGAUGACUCGGGUCGAUACAAGUGUAAAGUGAAGACAGAUUAUGGUUUCAGCUCUGACGACUGUCAACUCAAUGUCACUGCAGCUGCAGAUGAACUCAAAUCUAAGAGACCAACUUUAAAAUCACAAAAAAACAAUAUCUUAAUUGGAGCGACAGCAGUUGGAGUGACAGCAGUUGGAGUGGCAGUAGUUUUAAUCAUUGUGUGUACAUCUCUGUAUUUCAUGUUGAAAAAAAAAAGAAUUCACCGUAACCUCUAUGCUGAUGUAGAGAUGUUGAGUGUCUCAGAAAAACAAACUGGGACUGACAGGAUUCUCUGUGCAGGACCAACUUUGGAUCAGAGCGAAUCAUCAGUCACACAAAGAAAAGACUCUGAGCUGCUUUAGGUACAGAAAGUGAUGUGUGCUGUGUAACAUGACUUAUGUUAAAUCGGGCUCGUAUUAUCCUGGGAUUGAAUUCACAGCUGUAAUGAGUAAAGGGGGGACAGUUUUUGCCACCAAAAUCCACCUGUGCUGCACACUGGUAUUACUGGUGUGUGCCCGUGUCUGCGUGUGUGUCCACAUAUGUCUGUGCAGAUGGAGGCGAUACAGUUAAGCUGAAAAAGUAUUCGAUCGGCAAAUGACGUCUAACCCAAGAGCAAGCAAAAGUCACGACAAGAAAUCACAAGGCCUGGAAGUGCAUCGUUGACCAAGAAGGAAACCCUACGGUACCCACGGCGACGUCUUGGCCUCGUGGACGACCGCCGUCUGCCAGCUAAGGACAAAAGAAGACGAAAGAAAGAAUCAUUAAUGUGUCUGAAGGGAGAGUUUAUUUCUUACCCUUCUGAUUACUGAUGGAUGUUGUAGUACAGAGCGCUGCCUUUUCUAAUCUUUCUGUUAAAAAAAAUGUACAUAUUGUAAAUACAUAUUAAGUCUAUUUUUAAACUGUGUAUGUUCCCAGGUUCCAAAUACUGUGUCACAAAUAACUAUAAUGAAGGGAACUGACUGAGAAACCAUCAUAAAGUUUUCUUUGAGACUGUAUGAAUAAAAGACACUAACACUAAAAAACAGAUUUCAGAAAGUAUUAAAACAGAGAAAUGUAA